rnacentral:rRNA from 1 species
GACGAACGCUGGCGGCGUGCUUAACACAUGCAAGUCGAACGAAGAGCGAUGGAAGCUUGCUUCUAUCAAUCUUAGUGGCGCACGGGUGAGUAACGCGUAAUCAACCUGCCCUUCAGAGGGGGACAACAGUUGGAAACGACUGCUAAUACCGCAUACGAUCUAAUCUCGGCAUCGAGGAUAGAUGAAAGGUGGCCUCUACAUGUAAGCUAUCACUGAAGGAGGGGAUUGCGGCUGAUUAGCUAGUUGGAGGGGUAACGGCCCACCAAGGCGAUGAUCAGUAGCCGGUCUGAGAGGAUGAACGGCCACAAUGGGACUGAGACACGGCCCAGACUCCUACGGGAGGCAGCAGUGGGGAAUCUUCCGCAAUGGACGAAAGUCUGACGGAGCAACGCCGCGGGAGUGAUGACGGCCUUCGGGUUGUAAAGCUCUGUUAAUCGGGACGAAAGGCCUUCUUGCGAAUAGUGAGAAGGAUUGACGGUACCGGAAUAGAAAGCCACGGCUAACUACGUG